AAGACUAUAGACCUGCGGAGUACCUGCGGAGGGAUCAUUCACAAUAAGUGUUUUAUGGCACUUUAAUUCCAUAUCCACCUUGUGUGCAACGUAGUUCGUUUUUCGAACAAAACAUCAACAUUUUAAUUAUCAACAGAUCGUCUGAAGUAUUAUAUGAAUAAAUCAAUUCAAAAUACAACUUUCAGCAACGGAUCUCU
rnacentral:misc_RNA from 1 species